rnacentral:tRNA from 9 species
UUUUAACUCAGUGGUAGAGUAACGCCAUGGUAAGGCGUAAGUCAUCGGUUCAAAUCCGAUAGGGGGCU